rnacentral:rRNA from 1 species
GGUGAUCUGCCCUGCACUUCGGGGAUAAGCCUGGGAAACUGGGUCUAAUACCGGAUAUGACCUCCUAUCGCAUGGUGGGUGGUGGAAAGAUUUAUCGGUGCAGGAUGGGCCCGCGGCCUAUCAGCUUGUUGGUGGGGUAAUGGCCUACCAAGGCGACGACGGGUAGCCGACCUGAGAGGGUGACCGGCCACACUGGGACUGAGACACGGCCCAGACUCCUACGGGAGGCAGCAGUGGGGAAUAUUGCACAAUGGGCGAAAGCCUGAUGCAGCGACGCCGCGUGAGGGAUGACGGCCUUCGGGUUGUAAACCUCUUUCAGCAGGGACGAAGCGCAAGUGACGGUACCUGCAGAAGAAGCACCGGCUAACUACGUGCCAGCAGCCGCGGUAAUACGUAGGGUGCAAGCGUUGUCCGGAAUUACUGGGCGUAAAGAGUUCGUAGGCGGUUUGUCGCGUCGUUUGUGAAAACCAGCAGCUCAACUGCUGGCUUGCAGGCGAUACGGGCAGACUUGAGUACUGCAGGGGAGACUGGAAUUCCUGGUGUAGCGGUGAAAUGCGCAGAUAUCAGGAGGAAACACCGGUGGCGAAGGCGGGUCUCUGGGCAGUAAACUGACGCUGAGGAACGAAAAGCGUGGGUAGCGAACAGGAUUAGAUACCCUGGUAGUCC